UCGGGGUGCGCAGGCGCGAAAACUUUACAAUGCUGGCAACAGCGAUAAGGGGACCUCGAGUGCCAGGAUACAAUCUUGGCUGUCGCGAUGCCUAAAAAGCAUUGCAUAGCAAGGGCCGGGCAAGACCGGUGCCAGCCGCCGCGGUAACACCGGCGGCUCGAGUGGUAACCGCUAUUAUUGGGUCUAGAGGGUCUGUAGCCGGCCGGAUAAGUCUUUUGGGAAAUCCAGCUGCUCAACAGUUGGGCUUUCAGAAGAUACUGUUCGGCUCGAGACCGGGAGAGGUGAGAGGUACUUCAGGGGUAGGGGUGAAAUCUUGUAAUCCUUGAAGGACCACCAGUGGCGAAGGCGUCUCACCAGAACGGAUCUGACGGCAAGGGACGAAAGCUAGGGGCACGAACCGGAUUAGAUACCCGGGUAGUCCUAGCCGUAAACGAUACUCGCUAGGUGUCAGCCACGGUGCGACCGUGGUUGGUGCCGUAGGGAAGCCGUGAAGCGAGCCACCUGGGAAGUACGGCCGCAAGGCUGAAACUUAAAGGAAUUGGCGGGGGAGCA
rnacentral:rRNA from 1 species